rnacentral:lncRNA from 1 species
AUAUCUGUUCUUGCAAAGAGCUUGUCAAGUGUGUCAAAAAUGAUUUCAUCCAUUUCUGAAAAUGCCUCAGCUAAAGAAGGUGACUCUUCUCUGCCUUCAACGACGUUUCUUGGGCCGUAAGUUUCCUCUCCGAUGCCUGAGCUGACCAUGUUCUUUAACAGAAACCUGUAUUCUUCAAGCCCCAGUUUCUUGUUUCUCCAAACAACUCUUGCACAGGAUUCAGUGUCAAGCCUCCUGGUUUCAUCACAUGGCUUGUAGCACUCAUAAGCAAGCAUAUAGCAGCAUUGGCCUCUUUUCUGAAGAACCCAC